CCUACGGGGUGCAGCAGUGGGGAAUAUUGGACAAUGGGCGAAAGCCUGAUCCAGCCAUGCCGCGUGUGUGAAGAAGGCCUUCGGGUUGUAAAGCACUUUCAGUGGGGAAGAAAGCCUUGGGGCUAAUACCCUCGAGGAAGGACAUCACCCACAGAAGAAGCACCGGCUAACUCCGUGCCAGCAGCCGCGGUAAUACGGAGGGUGCGAGCGUUAAUCGGAAUUACUGGGCGUAAAGCGCGCGUAGGUGGUCUGAUAAGCCGGUUGUGAAAGCCCCGGGCUCAACCUGGGAACGGCAUCCGGAACUGUCAGGCUAGAGUGCAGGAGAGGAAGGUAGAAUUCCCGGUGUAGCGGUGAAAUGCGUAGAGAUCGGGAGGAAUACCAGUGGCGAAGGCGGCCUUCUGGACUGACACUGACGCUGAGGUGCGAAAGCGUGGGUAGCAAACAGGAUUAGAUACCCCUGUAGUC
rnacentral:rRNA from 1 species